UAUUGGACAAUGGGCGAAAGCCUGAUCCAGCAAUGCCGCGUGAGUGAUGAAGGCCUUAGGGUUGUAAAGCUCUUUUACCCGGGAUGAUAAUGACAGUACCGGGAGAAUAAGCUCCGGCUAACUCCGUGCCAGCAGCCGCGGUAAUACGGAGGGAGCUAGCGUUGUUCGGAAUUACUGGGCGUAAAGCGCACGUAGGCGGCUUUGUAAGUUAGAGGUGAAAGCCUGGAGCUCAACUCCAGAAUUGCCUUUGAUACUGCAUCGCUUGAAUCCAAGAGAGGUGAGUGGAAUUCCGAGUGUAGAGGUGAAAUUCGUAGAUAUUCGGAAGAACACCAGUGGCGAAGGCGGCUCACUGGACUGGUAUUGACGCUGAGGUGCGAG
rnacentral:rRNA from 1 species